CCGCGCCGCGCCGCCCGCCGCGUCUCGCACUUCGCGCCGCGCUCUCGCGAAUGGAUACCCAGUGCAGUGGUUGAGUGUCGUGCGGCCCAGUGCCGAGCAGAACAAGGAGUACCCGACCGAGCCCCAGCGGCCCAGCGGACAGCCACGCGCCCACAGGUGCCGCCACUGCUACCGCCACACACACCGAGUGACCCCGAGUCGCGGUGCCGAGCCCUGGAGCAGCUCGAGCAGGCCGAGGCGGAGGAAUACUAUGAGCGAGCCGGCGGAGGCCUUCGCCGCGGCUCCGAGAGCAGGCAGUGGUUGACGACGACGGCGAGCAUGCAGUGAGAAGGCCAGCGCCGCCACAGCAGCAGCAACACCAGCAGAGAGAGCCAGUCGCUGCAAGCAGAGCUUUCCGAUCAGUCGGGUGAUGACGCGGUCGUCCGCCAAGCCCAUGGCGCUGUCCCUGCCCUGCCCCGCGCCCAC